AUGUCCAGAUCUUGUAAGUCGCUCUGGAUAAGAGCGUCUGCUAAAUGACGUAAA
rfam:Salmo salar isolate Sally breed double haploid chromosome ssa25, whole genome shotgun sequence.